rnacentral:rRNA from 1 species
GAUGAACGCUGGCGGCGUGCCUAAUACAUGCAAGUCGAGCGAACAGACGAGGAGCUUGCUCCUCUGACGUUAGCGGCGGACGGGUGAGUAACACGUGGAUAACCUACCUAUAAGACUGGGAUAACUUCGGGAAACCGGAGCUAAUACCGGAUAAUAUAUUGAACCGCAUGGUUCAAUAGUGAAAGACGGUUUUGCUGUCACUUAUAGAUGGAUCCGCGCCGCAUUAGCUAGUUGGUAAGGUAACGGCUUACCAAGGCAACGAUGCGUAGCCGACCUGAGAGGGUGAUCGGCCACACUGGAACUGAGACACGGUCCAGACUCCUACGGGAGGCAGCAGUAGGGAAUCUUGCGCAAUGGGCGAAAGCUUGACGGAGCAACGCCGCGUGAGUGAUGAAGGUCUUCGGAUCGUAAAACUCUGUUAUUAGGGAGGAACAAAUGUGUAAGUAACUAUGCACGUCUUGACGGUACCUAAUCAGAAAGCCACGGCUAACUACGUG